rnacentral:siRNA from 1 species
GGGGAACGAGGUAUCCGUGCUA